UGGUGAAAGAGAUUUUAGGAAACAAGGGCGAGCGGCUGCUAGGGUUCUCCCUCCCCCUUUCUUUUAUCCCUCACUGCUAGGGUUCCCUCCCCCUUUUUCUUCUAUCCCUAACUUCCCCAGUUCCCCGCUUCUGUAUCAUCUCACUCUCGCCCUCUUUUCUUUUCUUUUCUUUUCUUUUUCUUUUUCUU